AUGGAGGAGGAACCGACCGCCAAGCGUCAUCAUGGCGAGACGUACGACAAGAGCUGCAACCUCGACGACGUUCACGUCCCCGGCGAGAAGCGUGCGUACACCAAAAUGCUCAAAGGGGUUGAGCUCCACGGCAACGAGACGCUGGAGAUCGUCUACACUAGCAAACCAGACAAGGCCGACGAGAUGAUCACAGGCUCUGGAGGAAAGCUGGCAGUUGUAUUCGUAAGAUCGUCGGUCUUGGUGUGCACUACACCAGGGAAGACAAACCUCCCCAGAUGGCAACCGUCCUGCAGUUGUGCGUGGAUGAACUCUGCCUGGUGUACCACAUCGUAG
rnacentral:rRNA from 1 species